AGCGAAGCGAGAAAGCGUUGCCGCAGGCAACGACCCGAAGGGCGAGGCGCAACGCGCCGAGUAAUCCUUCCCCCACCCUCA
rnacentral:sRNA from 1 species